UACGAAGGGUGCAAGCGUUACUCGGAAUUACUGGGCGUAAAGCGUGCGUAGGUGGUGAGUUAAGUCUGAUGUGAAAUCCCCGGGCUCAACCUGGGAAUGGCAUUGGAUACUGGCUCGCUAGAGUGCGGUAGAGGGUGGUGGAAUUCCCGGUGUAGCAGUGAAAUGCGUAGAGAUCGGGAGGAACAUCUGUGGCGAAGGCGGCCACCUGGACCGACACUGACACUGAGGCGCGAAAGCUAGGGGAGCAAACAGG
rnacentral:rRNA from 1 species